rnacentral:misc_RNA from 1 species
GAUGAAGAACGCAGCGAAAUGCGAUAAGUAGUGUGAAUUGCAGAAUUCAGUGAAUCAUCGAAUCUUUGAACGCACAUUGCGCCCCUUGGUAUUCCAUGGGGCAUGCCUGUUCGAGCGUCAUUUGUACCUUCAAGCUUUGCUUGGUGUUGGGUGUUUGUCCAUUCUCUUGCAGAGGGACUCGCCUUAAAGUAAUUGGCAGCCAGUGUUUUGGUUUUGAAGCGCAGCACAAGUCGCGAUUCAACGCUAUACGCCAGCUUCCACAAGCCUUUUUCACUUUUGACCUCGGAUCAGGUAGGGAUACCCGCUGAACUUAAGCAUAUCAAUAAGCGGAGGA